AUGUACAAGCCUGCUCCUGCAACUAGGCGUGAGACCCCUGCUUCCAGCUCUCUCUGGUCUCCGCCGCCGCCAGGUACGCUGUUGGUAUCGUCGGAUGCUGCUGUCUCACGGGAGCUUGGUAAAUCUUGCAUUGGUGUGGUGGUUCACGACCACGCCGGUCAGUGCAUUGCUGCUACCUCUGAACCAUUGAUUGGUGUUUCUGAUCCUGAAAUGGCGGAGGCUUUGGCUCUUCGUCGGGCGGCAGGACUGGUACGGGAGGAGAACUACUCGGAUGUGAUCUUUCUCUCAGACUGUCUCUCUGUGGUGCAAAGAAUAAAUUCUUCCUCCUGA
rnacentral:rRNA from 1 species